AGGGUACAGCUCAGUAGUAGAGCACAUGCUUAGCAUACAUGAGGUCCUGGGUUCAAUCCCCAGUACCUCUA
rnacentral:tRNA from 1 species